ACUCCUGCGGGAGGCAGCAGUGGGGAAUAUUGCACAAUGGGCGCAAGCCUGAUGCAGCCAUGCCGCGUGUAUGAAGAAGGCCUUCGGGUUGUAAAGUACUUUCAGCGGGGAGGAAGGCAAUACGGUUAAUAACCGUGUUGAUUGACGUUACCCACAGAAGAAGCACCGGCUAACUCCGUGCCAGCAGCCGCGGUAAUACGGAGGGUGCAAGCGUUAAUCGGAAUUACUGGGCGUAAAGCGCACGCAGGCGGUCUGUCAAGUCGGAUGUGAAAUCCCCGGGCUCAACCUGGGAACUGCAUUCGAAACUGGCAGGCUUGAGUCUUGUAGAGGGGGGUAGAAUUCCAGGUGUAGCGGUGAAAUGCGUAGAGAUCUGGAGGAAUACCGGUGGCGAAGGCGGCCCCCUGGACAAAGACUGACGCUCAGGUGCGAAAGCGUGGGGAGCAAACAGGAUUAGAAACCCCAGUAGUCC
rnacentral:rRNA from 1 species